rnacentral:rRNA from 1 species
GACGAACGCUAGCGACAGGCUUAACACACGCAAGUCGAGGGGCAGCGGGGAUGUAGCUUGCUAUAUCUGCCGGCGACCGGCGCACGGGUGAGUAACACGUAUGCAACCUGCCCAUUGCAGGGGGAUAAGCAGAAGAAAUUCUGUCUAAUACCGCGUAAUAUGAGAUUGAGGCAUCUCGGUUUCAUUAAAGAUUUAUCGGCAAUGGAUGGGCAUGCGGCGCAUUAGCUAGUUGGCGGGGUAACGGCCCACCAAGGCAACGAUGCGUAGGGGUUCUGAGAGGAAGGUCCCCCACACUGGUACUGAGACACGGACCAG